rnacentral:rRNA from 2 species
UUAAGCAUAUCAAUAAGCGGAGGAAAAGAAACCAACAGGGAUUCCCCUAGUAACGGCGAGUGAAGCGGGAACAGCUCAAAUUUGAAAUCUGGCCCUUGGGUCCGAGUUGUAAUUUGCAGAGGAUGCUUUUGGUGCGGUGCCUUCCGAGUUCCCUGGAACGGGACGCCUUAGAGGGUGAGAGCCCCGUACGGUUGGACACCAAGCCUAUGUAAAGCUCCUUCGACGAGUCGAGUAGUUUGGGAAUGCUGCUCAAAAUGGGAGGUAUAUUUCUUCUAAAGCUAAAUAUUGGCCAGAGACCGAUAGCGCACAAGUAGAGUGAUCGAAAGAUGAAAAGCACUUUGAAAAGAGGGUUAAAUAGCACGUGAAAUUGUUGAAAGGGAAGGAUUUAUGACCAGACUUUUUCUAGGGGGAUCAUCCGGUGUUCUCACCGGUGCACUUCCCCUAGUGGAGGCCAGCAUCGGUUUCUGUCGGGGGAUAAAAGCUUCGGGAAUGUGGCUCUCUCCGGGGAGUGUUAUAGCCCGUUGCAUAAUACCCUGACGGGGACCGAGGUUCGCGCAUUGCAAGGAUGCUGGCGUAAUGGUUAUUAAUCACCCGUCUUGAAACACGGACCAAGGAGUCGAACAUUUGUGCGAGUGUUUGGGUGUUAAACCCUCACGCGUAAUGAAAGUGAACGGAGGUGAGAGCCUUUCGGGGUGCAUCAUCGACCGAUCCUGAUGUCUUCGGAUGGAUUUGAGUAAGAGCAUAACUGUUCGGACCCGAAAGAUGGUGAACUAUGCGUGGAUAGGGUGAAGCCAGAGGAAACUCUGGUGGAGGCUCGCAGCGGUUCUGACGUGCAAAUCGAUCGUCAAAUCUGCGCAUGGGGGCGAAAGACUAAUCGAACCAUCUAGUAGCUGGUUACCGCC